rnacentral:rRNA from 1 species
GUUGUUGCUGGCCCUCGAAUGGGGGCAUGUGCACACUCUGUUUACACAUCCACUCACACCUGUGCACUCUCUGUAGUACUGUGGUCUGGGGGUUCUGUCCUCCUACUGUGGUUCUGCGUAUUUACACACACACUGUAAUAAAGUCUCAUGGAAUGUAUGUCGCGUUUAACGCAAUGAAAUACAACUUUCAGCAACGGAUCUCUUGGCUCUCGCAUCGAUGAAGAACGCAGCGAAAUGCGAUAAGUAAUGUGAAUUGCAGAAUUCAGUGAAUCAUCGAAUCUUUGAACGCACCUUGCGCCCUUUGGCUAUUCCGAAGGGCAUGCCUGUUUGAGUAUCAUGAACACCUCAACUCUCAUGGCUUGCCAUGAUGAGCUUGGACUUGGGGGUUUUGCUGGCCUGUGGUCAGCUCCCCUCAAAUGCAUCAGCUUUCCAGUGUUUGGUGGCACCACAGGUGUGAUAAACAUCUACACAUGUGGUUCCCCACCAUAUAACCUUCAGUGAUGGAGGUUCGCUGGAGCUCACAAAUGUCUUUCCUCAGUGAAGACAGUUCUUUGAUUGUUUGAUCUCAAAUCAGGUAGGACUACCCGCUGAACUUAAGCAUAUCAAUAAGCGGAGGAAAAGAAACUAACAAGGAUUCCCCUAGUAACUGCGAGUGAAGCGGGAAGAGCUCAAAUUUAAAAUCUGAUGUGCCUCUGGCCGUCCGAAUUGUAGUCUGGAGAAGCGUUUUCCGUGCUGGA